rnacentral:ncRNA from 1 species
AAAAAAUAUUGGCAAACUUAUUGAAAAAUAAGGACGCAAAGCCAUGGAUCUAAAGGAUGUAAUAUUCUACGAUUGCCAGGUUGCUAUU